UUCACACACAUUGACACGGAUAAACAGAGUGAGGCAUUUCAAGAGAGACAAGUAGCCCCUGCUUACUGUCUUCAGCUUGUUGGCAGGGCUCUCUUUUAAGUGCUUGAAACCACCUCUGAGACUUCUCUUAAUCAAAUCAGAGUUAACAACAAAUCAAAGCCACUGAAGAUGUUUCGGAGCAAAGCACUAAGUUGGCUCUCACAGUCACAGCAACCAACGCCUUCAAGGUCACCAAUAAGCUUCAAGGGACUACGUGCUCAAAUCAAUCCAUUACCUCUCACAACAUCGCCUCUAACUCUACCAAUAAACUCUACGAGAGGUGAUGAUCAGAUAGCUAAUUCAUCAACUCUCACAGCAACGCCUCCAACAAUGGGACCAAUAAACUCUGGAGGAGGUGGUCAAACCAACUCAUCCGCUCUCAAAGCAAAGCCCCCAACGCCACCCAUAAACUCCGGGGGAGGCGGUCAAACCAACUCAUUUGCUCUCAAAGCAAAGCCUCCAACACCACCUGCAAACCCCGGGAAAGGUGGUAAAACCAAUUAAUCAGAUCUCACAACAAAUAAAUUUAUACACGUUUGUGGAGGUAUAUGAUGUAUCAAGCCCAGUAAAAAUUAUAUAUAGAUUGGUGUAUGUCGUGCAAUUCUUAAAAUGGAUUGUGAGAAUUCAAAUCUUUGUAAUGUCAAGUGGCUGCAUGAGUUUGUUGUCAUAAAAAAAAAAAAAUAAUUAGAAAACAAUAAUUUCAAGAACUUGUAUUAAUUAUUAGUGUGUUUUUAGAGGGAGAUCGAAUUUAUGGUGUAUGACAUCUUUUAAUAAAUAUAUACGUGAAUUUACUUCGGUUUAA